AUCGAACGCUGGCGGCAUGCUUUACACAUGCAAGUCGAACGGUAACAGGGUGCUUGCACCGCUGACGAGUGGCGAACGGGUGAGUAAUGCGUCGGAACGUGCCGAGUAGUGGGGGAUAACGCAGCGAAAGUUGUGCUAAUACCGCAUACGUACUGAGGUAGAAAGUGGGGGACCUUCGGGCCUCACGCUAUUCGAGCGGCCGACGUCUGAUUAGCUAGUAGGUGAGGUAAAGGCUCACCUAGGCGACGAUCAGUAGCGGGUCUGAGAGGAUGCUCCGCAACACUGGGACUGAGACACGGCCCAGACUCCUACGGGAGGCAGCAGUGGGGAAUUUUGGACAAUGGGCGAAAGCCUGAUCCAGCCAUGCCGCGUGUCUGAAGAAGGCCUUCGGGUUGUAAAGGACUUUUGUCAGGGAGGAAAUCCCUAGUGCUAAUAACACUGGGGGAUGACAGUACCUGAAGAAUAAGCACCGGCUAACUACGUGCCAGCCGCCGCCGUAA
rnacentral:rRNA from 1 species